rnacentral:tRNA from 1 species
UGUAGCUCAGUGGUAGAGCACUUGACUAGCACACAUGAGGCCCUGGGUUCACUCCCCAGCA